rnacentral:RNase_MRP_RNA from 1 species
GAACUCGAUUUAGAAUUGCAGAGUCAAGCGCCAUCCCCGCGAUGGCGCCGUGAUUGGGAAAUUCCCCGGACCGCAGGGCAGAGAGUGCCGGCAGUGAAUGCAAAACGCUUCUUUUGGACGCUGCGAAGAUGCCUUCGGGUGGAGCAUGUGCCGACGAGAGAGGUCUGUUCGUCAUACCACAGUUAUGCAAUUGGCCCCACGCCACGUCGACGUCGUGCGGCAGUGUGCGGGUUAACUCAACGGGGAUUACUCAAGUCGUGUU